rnacentral:rRNA from 1 species
UAGAACGUGAAACCGUUAUGCUGGAAGCAAAUGAAACCGAAGGCAAGCCGUGCCAUUCCUUUGGAUAGGUGGUUGUUUGGUUUGGCGGGUGCGUUCCCUCGGGGGCGUGCUCGUCGGGCUCGACGGCUGCUGGUCUGAUUGAUUUGGUGCGGUAUGCUCUUGAGAACCGCGGCGUCCGUGUCUCGCCCUCACGUUGGCUCCUAACCGUCGCCGGUUAGCGAGACGGCGGAGGCGCGUGGACUACCGACGCUGCGGGGCUACGUCGCUUACUUGCGUCCCCAUGUCGCUGUCGUCGGCUCGUGGCUGUACUGCUUGCAGUGCACUGCGACCGGUGGCUGUCGGGAGGGGCGCGAUUCCGCGGCGGGCUCUCGGGAGUGCCGUCGGUGCAUUAUUUGACCCGUCUUGAAACACGGACCAAGGAGUUUAGCAUGAUCGCGAGUCAUUGGGCGCGUAAAACCCAUUGGCGUAAUGAAAGUGAGUCGCACGC